rnacentral:tmRNA from 1 species
UCACUUCACAUUAAUUGCCGAACGCCUAUAUGUCUUCGUGCCGGGUUCGCCCGGCUAUGAGGAUAAAUUGUGCCGUGCAAUAGAUGCAGCGGACCCGGGGGCAGUACCCGGCGGCUCCACCAAAUCCUUCGCUUCGGCGGAGGUUCUGACGGGGCCGAACCAGGAUCGACGUGUAUUGAAAAGCGGUAUUUUCUUCCGGGCUGAGUAACCCGUUAAAGGCUCAAAACCCACAAGUGCCAAUGACAAUGAAGCACUCGCUCUCGCGGCGUAACCUGACGGCCUAACGGCCUGAAAUUACAAAGCUAAAGCGCGGUUGGACCGACCGGGCAACAGAACGGAUUCCA